GGAGUCUCCACCAGCGGCAGCAGCAGGAGCAGCGGAUUUGUAGAGGAGUUUGCUGAACAGAGGAAAACAACUCGGGAGUCGAGGGAACAUCUUCGGUGCUCACUUCUCCUCACUUCAGAGUCUGCAGCUGCACAGGGACCUCACAUGUCUUCACUUUACUGUUAAAGUAGCCACAGAAACCUCCGGUGGUAGAUUCCUGCUGCCGAGCGUUUCCACGUCCGGCCGCUGAACGAAGCAGGAGGCGGAGCCAUGAUCGACCUGAGCCACCUGACGGAGGAGGAGCAGAAGAAGAUCAUGACGGUGCUGAGGCGGGACGC